rnacentral:rRNA from 1 species
GUCGGUGAGGUAACCUAUUAGGAGCCAGCCGCCUAAGGUGGGAUAGAUGAUUGGGGUGAAGUCGUAACAAGGUAGCCGUAUCGGAAGGUGCGGCUGGAUCACCUCCUUUCUAAGGAA